rnacentral:lncRNA from 1 species
CCAGCUCAGAAAGCCAAAGAAAGUAGCUGGUUGGCCAAGAGAGGAGGCUGCCCUCACCAGACACACAUACCCAGGGUGUCUUCAUCUCACUGACUAUUUCAAAAGGAAGUGAGACUCCCCUGAGCCCACCAGGCUGCAUGCAGCUCAGGCCACGUGGAGAAGCCAUGGAGAAUGAGACACACCCUGGAGGAGAGCAUGGCCAAGAAGCACCAGAUAAGUGAUGAAGAAGCUUCUCAGAGGCGGCUCUCCCGGCUCCAGCUCCCCAAUGGCCAUCAUGUGGAGUCAAGAAGAACCGUUCUGUUGAGCCCUCUCCAAAUUCCUGACCCACAAAAUUGUGAGCAAACUAAAACAACUAAUUGAAGUCCCUAUGUUUUGGAGCACUUUGUUAUACAGCAGUGGAUAACUGCAACAUGACCCAACAGCCAGCAAGAUCUUUUAAAAAUGGAAACCAAACAAUGCCACUCCUCAACUUCAAGCUCUCCAGUGGCUUCUUAUUACAAAAUCUGGACUUUUCACCAUGGCCUGCAGGGCUCUGGACAGUCUGGGCCCUGUCCCCAUUGCCACUCCCUUCCUCCCUGGGCUCCAUCCACACUGGCCUCAACCCUCCAGCACAGCAAGUGCCUGCUCACAUUCCUUCUUCCUGAGACACUCCGCAUCUCUUCUCAUCUCCUGGUCUCUGCUAAGAUGUCAUCUCCUCCACUUUACACCCAUCUGGGUGCCUGUUAACAAGAAAACAGGAAAUAAUAAGGGUUGAUGAAGAUGUGGAGAAGUUGAAAUCCUGAUACAUUUUAUAUGAUACAUGUACUAUAAAAUGAUACACUUUAUAGUAAGAUGGCACUGUUCUGCUGCGGAAAGCAGUAUGGUGUUUUCUAAAAAAAUUAAACAGAAUUACUGUAUGACCUGGCAAUUUCUCUUCUGGGUAAAUACUCAAAAGAAUUGAAACCAGAAUCUCACAGAGAUAAUUGUAUGCCCAUAUUCGUAGCAGUAUUAUUCACAGGAGCUAAGGGGUGGGAACAACCCAAGUGUCCAUGACAGAUGAAUGGAUGAGCACAUGUGGUCUAUCCACACAAUGGGUAUUACUGAGCCUUCAAAAGGAAGACAAUUCUGCACAUGCUACAACUUGGAGGAACCUUGAGGACAUUAUGCUGAGCGAUAUAAGCCAGUAAAAAAAGGAAAAUACUGUAUGACCCCACCUAUAUGAGGUACUAGUAUAGUCACAGUCCUAGAGACACAAAGUAGAAUGGUGGGUGCCAGACAGAAGAGGAGGGAAUGGGGAGUUAGUGUUUAGUGGGGACAGAGUUUCAGGUUUGCAAGAUGAAAAAAGAUAGAGACGCAUGGUGGUGAUGGCUGCACAACAAUGUGAAUGUGCUUAAUGCCACUGAACUUAAAAAUGGUUAAG